UUACUAUGCUAAGGAGGGCUAGGCGCCUGACUACAGCCAAUAAUGGUGAUAUGGCAAUCAGAAGGAUUCGACUGAGGAGCCCGUGUGUGAAUAAACACCAACAAACAGAAAGUAAAGUUAAGUUAUUGUAUUUGCAUGUAUAUUUUUCCAUAUAUUUAGGAAGGUAUUUAAUAAUAAUAAUAAUAAUAAUAAUAAUAAUAAUAUUUUCUUAUAAAUAUAAACA